ensembl:lncRNA
GUAACUUACUUAAGCUCAUGCAGCUUGAAGUGGAGCCAGGAUUCUGGUCUGGGUCAUCUGGCUCCAGAGCCCUUUCUGUAAACUAUAAGGUUUGUGCAUCUCUCUUAGAGAGGACACUAGGAGCUGUCCCACUCUUGACUAGCCUGACUAGAGGGUCCAAGAUCUGGACUGGAAUUUCCCAGAGAAUGUCACAACUGUCUAAGGCUAGGAGAAUGUUCUAUCACUUAGCUGUACUUCAUAUAACUAUCACCAGCAUCACCCCUAGCAACUGGCAGGAAUCUUGGGUUUCCUCUGAAAGCUCCUCUGGCAGGCUUGCCUGGCUGUGCGUCCAUGUCUACCGCCAAAACAAACAUGUUGCAGGGGUGUUGUUCAUGCAUUGCCCUCGAAAACUCUUGCUGUCACGGGAUCACCCUCUUCCUGCUGAUGGAUGGUCAUUAUCUGACUCUGUUGCCAUGGAGAGGGAUGGACUCAGGUGUGUUUUUCAAGCCUGCAUAUUCCCACUGGGGCUGCAACAAGGAUGCUUCUGUACGUCAUGUUUGGCAAGCCUGUGGCAGGCUGUGGCCAGGCUUUUCCUGCAGGUCAAACCUAAUCAACUGAUCAGCUGCAGAUCAUAUCAAGACCUCUGCUUGAUACGUUAUUAGUGACAGACAUGCUUCCAUAAUGAAUAUCAUGAUGUCAUUUGACCAUAACGUUGUUGAGGUGGGGAAAGAAAACACUCCAGUCAUCAGACUUGGGAUGAGAAGGGCUUGUGUUCACAGAAACACAACUUCACGUCACUGUUUCUCACGAAGGACUGUUUUGUUCUUGAAGACUGCUGCUCAUCCUCUGAUGUUGAUUUCCUAUGUUACAACGACCUCGAUUCGUAUGCCCUGGCAAGCAGCACAAGCACUGUUUCCUGUUUCUGAACUUGUAGACAACCAUCCAUACGUCUCAUGGUUGUCAAUUCAACCAGAUAACUG